AUGAGUUGUUUUCAGCUCACUAAGAAAAUAUGUCGGAACCUGACUUCGAUCUCCUCAAAAUUCUGGUGGGGUGCAAUAAAUGGUGAAAGGAAAGUGCAUCACGUCUCAUGGCAAAAAAGGUGUGCAACAAAGAGGGUAGGAUGACUCAUGUUCUGUGAUCCAGAGGCGUCCAAUCAAGCUUUGCUUGCGAAACAAGAUUUGAGAAUUUUGCAAGAACCAUCCUCCUUGUGUGCAUGGGUUCUCAAAGCACGCUAUUUAAAGGACAAAAUGAUUAUGUCGGCAACCUGCCCGGCUAAUGAAUCCUACACUUACCAAAGUGUGCUACAUGGUAGAGAUCUUCUUCGUGAAGGACUGAUUUGGCGCAUAGGGGGUGGUUCAAAGGUGCAUAUACACCAUGAUAACACUACAAAAAAAAAGACACAUCCGUGA
rnacentral:rRNA from 1 species